rnacentral:rRNA from 1 species
GACGAACGCUGGCGGCGUGCUUAACACAUGCAAGUCGAACGGAAAGGCCCUGCUUUUGCGGGGUGCUCGAGUGGCGAACGGGUGAGUAACACGUGAGUAACCUGCCCUUGACUUUGGGAUAACUUCAGGAAACUGGGGCUAAUACCGGAUAGGAGCUCCUGCUGCAUGGUGGGCGUUGGAAAGUUUCGGCGGUUGGGGAUGGACUCGCGGCUUAUCAGCUUGUUGGUGGGGUAGUGGCUUACCAAGGCUUUGACGGGUAGCCGGCCUGAGAGGGUGACCGGCCACAUUGGGACUGAGAUACGGCCCAGACUCCUACGGGAGGCAGCAGUGGGGAAUAUUGCACAAUGGGCGGAAGCCUGAUGCAGCAACGCCGCGUGCGGGAUGACGGCCUUCGGGUUGUAAACCGCUUUCGCCUGUGACGAAGCGUGAGUGACGGUAAUGGGUAAAGAAGCACCGGCUAACUACGUG